UGUCGAUUUGGGGGAGUUGACGCCCCCUU
rnacentral:sRNA from 1 species